UGCCAGCCGCCGCGGUAACACGGGGGGCGCAAGCGUUAUUCGGAAUUAUUGGGCGUAAAGCGCGUGUAGGCGGUUCGUUAAGUCUGAUGUGAAAGCCCGGGGCUCAACCUGGGAAUUGCGUUUAAUACUGGUGAGCUAGAGUACGAGAGAGGAAAGUGGAAUUCCUAGUGUAGAGGUGAAAUUCGUAGAUAUUAGGAAGAACACCAGUGGCGAAGGCGACUUUCUGGCUCGUAACUGACGCUGAGGCACGAAAGCGUGGGGAGCAAACAGGAUUAGAUA
rnacentral:rRNA from 1 species